UCAUAUGGAUGAACAAAGAAAGUGGUUUUCUGAGACGGAAUCCAUUCUUGGUGAAGAUGCUGAGAA
rnacentral:pre_miRNA from 1 species